rnacentral:lncRNA from 10 species
CAAAGGAGUAGUGGGACAUUCAAGGUAUUCACUUUUUCUAAUUAUAAGGAAAACCACAGGAAUCUAGCAUCAAGCACAUGACCGGCAGCUGCAAAAGAUCAGCUAAACAUUUAAAGAUCUUUCACCUGCUCCUACACGUGUGGCAAUUCAGAAGAAAAUGCCACUGGAUUCAGGCUUCCUCUAGAGAGGGCCAAAGACUUCGAAACCAAUGAACAGCAAAAACUUCUGGUGACCAGAGCAUUUCUUAAUAUUUCCCUUUUUUUUUAAAGUUAAUGUAAACAGGUCAGUGAACAGACACCUGGAAUGGCCUCUAAGCACAGAGGGAGAGUUCAAAUAAUUGAUGCGUGUUAAUCUGAAUUACUCUUCAGUGACCUCAGAACUGGAGGCGACUAUGGUUUAUGACAUUCCCUUGAGAAGUGUCUCGUUUCAUUCAGUGACAUUUUGAACACACACGUGUUCCCUGUCUGCAGCACCCAGGUGCUCUUCACCUAAGAUACCCCGUCUUCUGCUAAACCAGUACACCAGUUUCCACGAGCAGUUUCCCGAGGCUUCUGCACUCCUCAGCAUGCUCUCAGAUUGUUUCCCCUGCCGGAGAACUAGCACCGUGUUCUUCAGUACCAGCAUGGUCUCCUGGCCAGCCCCUAGGUGCAAUCCUCCAACACGGUGACACUCAGCAACCUAGGGCCAAGUUUACCCACUUGUCUCCCUAUACACAAUGCUCCUGCACCUGCUCACCUACCAGGGGCCGUCCCGCCCCAGCAGCCUACCCUGUCUGCCACAGCUCUGCUUCCUGGCGUUCCCACCUCCGCCUCAAGCUUUGCCUUUCCUCUCAAGCUCCCCGCCCUGCUCUAAUCUUGCCCUUCCUUGGCUCAGCUCCAGUUCCACCUCCCCCAAUACUCCCCCUGUGGCCUCUCUAACCCAUACACCUUCCCUGAAGGCCUGCGACACCAAUAAAUGAAAGGGCACAUUGAUACUGGUUGUUCUCUGAUGCCUUCAAGUAUUUCUCUUGCCUCCACAGGAAGAUCUUUAACUCUUUUUCCAGAUCUCACGAAGCCAGGCAGAUUGGCGGGGACAUGGAGCCAUCAGCCAACAUCGGAGCAACCAAAUUAGAAAGCUCUAAAACCAAAAGUGGAUUUUACAAAUCUGGUGCAUAAUUGACUUGAACCCCACAAGGGCAGACACACUGUAAGCUGGAAUAUUCACAAGACGGGGCAACGUGCAAGGCUGGAGACAGUGUCUAUGGAGAUGAGGCAAUGAGAUGUGUGGACAACUGGAAGCCUGUGAAAGAAGAGACCUGUGCAGCCAAACAAGGUUUGGGAACCAGCACAGUAGCUGCUUGGAUAGAGGAAAUUUUUCAGAGGCUUGUCGGCUGGGAAGGAUCAGGUGAGGCAAAGAAUCUAAAAGGAUUACUUGUCAAGGACCCGGCUCCAUCAAUUACAAUAGAAGAAAACCUGUUUAGCGAAAACUACCUUAUUGUGGGGAAAAAAUGACUUUGGAACAUUCGAAAUACCUUGACCUAUGAUGCAAUGUCCUCCAAGGAGACUGAGCUAGCAAUUCUUCACUGGCAAUGAAGUCACCCAUCGCCUUACUGAGGGUACAGGUAAGUAAGAGCUACAGAUUGAUUGACUGCAAUGAAUAACACCCACAAGUCAUGAACAUCAGCAGAAAUCCAAGGAAUCCAAUUCUGCUGCAUUGUUUUCUACCUAUCAGAGGCAACAGCUACACCACCUAUGUCAGAACCACGGCUGCUGUAAGUUUUCCUCUGCAAACUGCUUCCCAGUGGACAAGAUUUUAGCAUUUUUGUUCAACAGAUCUACUGGGGUCCUAUGUGAUCCACAUACAUUUGGACUCCAUUCCUUAGGACCUGAGACCACAGUAAAGGCAUUGCCUCCUAUUAAGAGCCCAGAGUAGAGUUUCAAUGACUCCAUAGCAACUUUGGUUAAAAGGAAUCUUAAUGAGCAUUUACUUAGAACCUAUGAUAUUUAAUACUGUAUAGCUGGUAUGCAGAGAUAAAGGGGGAAAAGACAAGAAGAGAACAUACAAUGAGAACUUAUAAAUGCUAAGGAAACAAAACACAGUAAGGAGCAAAUGGUAAGAUUAAUUGUGUGGAAUUCCUAGAGGAAGAGUUUGUAAUCUUUAUAAGAAAGAAGAUGAAUCAACCGGGCACG